AAAAUAUAUAAGGGGAGGUCGUUCUUUCGGCCUGAGAGUUCCGCCAUGAGAAGCGGAUGACCCGAAAAAACCUGAUCUGGGUAAUGCCAGCGGAGGGACGAAGCGCGCAAGGGUG
rnacentral:ncRNA from 1 species